rnacentral:tRNA from 1 species
UCUCUCGCAGCUUAAUGGUUAGAGUAUUGGUGAGUAAAGCCAACGGUCCCGGGUUCGAUUCUCGGCGGGGGGU